CCUACGGGUGGCAGCAGUGAGGAAUAUUGGUCAAUGGGCGAAAGCCUGAACCAGCCAAGCCGCGUGAAGGAUGAAGGAUCUAUGGUUUGUAAACUUCUUUUAUAUGGGAAUAAAGUGAGGAACGUGUUCCUUUUUGUGUGUACCAUAUGAAUACGCAUCGGCUACCUCCGUGCCAGCAGCCGCGGUAAUACGGAGGAUGCGAGCGUUAUCCGGAUUUAUUGGGUUUAAAGGGUGCGCAGGUGGGUAUUUAAGUCAGCGGUGAAAGUUGGGGGCUCAACCAUAAAAGUGCCGUUGAAACUGGGGGACUUGAGUAUGUUUGAGGUAGGCGGAAUGCGUGGUGUAGCGGUGAAAUGCAUAGAUAUCGCGCAGAACCCCGAUUGCGAAGGCAGCUUACUAAACUAUAACUGACGCUGAGGCACGAAAGCGUGGGGAUCAAACAGGAUUAGAUACCCUUGUAGUC
rnacentral:rRNA from 1 species